rnacentral:rRNA from 1 species
UUUUAUGGAGAGUUUGAUCCUGGCUCAGAGUGAACGCUGGCGGCGUGCCUAAUACAUGCAAGUCGAACGAUGAAGCUUCUAGCUUGCUAGAAGUGGAUUAGUGGCGCACGGGUGAGUAAGGUAUAGUUAAUCUGCCCUACACAAGAGGACAACAGUUGGAAACGACUGCUAAUACUCUAUACUCCUGCUUAACACAAGUUGAGUAGGGAAAGUUUUUCGGUGUAGGAUGAGACUAUAUAGUAUCAGCUAGUUGGUAAGGUAAUGGCUUACC